rnacentral:lncRNA from 1 species
UGGAUUCGUUUCUUUAAAAAUAUUUUUCAUCAUCCUCAGUCUUAAAUGAUGAUAUUAUUGAAUAUCUUUGGCCUGUAGUGCAAAGAUGAAUGAUUUAUGAUGAAUAUCUUUGGCCUGUAGUGCAAAGAUGAAUAUUUUCUGAUGAAUAUCUUUGGCCCGUAGUGCAAAGAUGAACAGGUGUUUAGAUGAACAUGACCAACUG